CGAAGUGUAGCACAGCCUGGUUAGCGCACGUCGUUCGGGACGACGAGGUCGGAGGUUCGAAUUCUCUCACUUCGG
rnacentral:tRNA from 1 species